UACGAAGGGGGCUAGCGUUGCUCGGAAUCACUGGGCGUAAAGCGCCCGUAGGCGGAUUGUUAAGUCAGGGGUGAAAUCCUGGAGCUCAACUCCAGAACUGCCUUUGAUACUGACGGUCUUGAGUUCGGGAGAGGUGAGUGGAACUGCGAGUGUAGAGGUGAAAUUCGUAGAUAUUCGCAAGAACACCAGUGGCGAAGGCGGCUCACUGGCCCGAUACUGACGCUGAGGCGCGAAAGCGUGGGGAGCAAACAGG
rnacentral:rRNA from 1 species